rnacentral:rRNA from 1 species
GACGAACCGUGCAAACGUUGUUCGGAAUCACUGGGCUUAAAGGGCGCGUAGGCGGGCCGCAAAGUCCGGGGUGAAAUCCCCCAGCUUAACUGGGGAAGUGCCUUGGAUACUGGCGGCCUCGAGGAGGGUAGGGGCAUCUGGAACGUUGGGUGGAGCGGUGGAAAUGGCGUUGAUAUCCAACGGAACUCCGGUGGCGAAAGCGAGGUGCUGGACCCUUUCUGACGGCUGAGGCGCGAAAGCCAGGGGAGCAAACGGG